rnacentral:lncRNA from 1 species
AGAGCAGAGAGGGUUUUAAAGGCACUUUGCACGUAAGUACUCAUGAAACAACAUUGUUAUUCUCACACAGCAGGCAUAAGCAGAAGAAACAGAGACAUAACAACUUAGCAAUGCAAAAUGAGCUCCAGGCAUCAGGGACACCAGGUUGCAGGUCAGAGUCA